GACGAACGCUGGCGGCGUGCUUAACACAUGCAAGUCGAACGGAAAGGCCCCUUUGGGGGUACUCGAGUGGCGAACGGGUGAGUAACACGUGGGUAACCUGCCCUUGACUUCGGGAUAACUUCAGGAAACUGGGGCUAAUACCGGAUAGGAAUCCUUGCUGCAUGGUGGGGGUUGGAAAGCUUCGGCGGUUUUGGAUGGACUCGCGGCUUAUCAGCUUGUUGGUGGGGUAGUGGCUUACCAAGGCUUUGACGGGUAGCCGGCCUGAGAGGGCGACCGGCCACAUUGGGACUGAGAUACGGCCCAGACUCCUACGGGAGGCAGCAGUGGGGAAUAUUGCACAAUGGGCGGAAGCCUGAUGCAGCAACGCCGCGUGCGGGAUGACGGCCUUCGGGUUGUAAACCGCUUUCAGCAGGGGCGAAGCUUGUGGUGACGGUACCUGCAGAAGAAGCACCGGCUAACUACGUG
rnacentral:rRNA from 1 species